rnacentral:rRNA from 1 species
GGAAUUCCCGGUGUAGAGGUGAAAUUCGUAGAUAUCGGGAGGAAUACCGGUGUCGAAGGCGAUUACCUGCCUGGAUACUGACGCUGAGGCGCGAAAGCGUGGGGAGCAAUCAGGAUUAGAUACCAUGGUAGUCCACGCCGUAAACGAUGUCAACUAGAUGUAGGGGGUGUUGAUCCCCUCUGUGUCGCAGCUAACGCAUUAAGUUGACCGCCUGGGGAGUACGGUCGCAAGAUUAAAACUCAAAGGAAUUGACGGGGGCCCGCACAAGCGGUGGAGUAUGUGGUUUAAUUCGAUGCAACGCGAAGAACCUUACCUGGUCUUGACAUCCCAAGGAUCUCCUGGAAACAGGAGAGUGCUUUCUUUCGAGAGAACUUGGUGACAGGUGCUGCAUGGCUGUCGUCAGCUCGUGUCGUGAGAUGUUGGGUUAAGUCCCGCAACGAGCGCAACCCUCGCCAUUAGUUGCCAUCAUUUAGUUGGGCACUCUAAUGGGACUGCCGGUGUCAAACCGGAGGAAGGUGGGGAUGACGUCAAGUCCUCAUGGCCUUUAUGACCAGGGCUACACACGUACUACAAUGGCCGGUACAAAGGGCAGCCACAGGGUGACCUGGAGCAAAUCUCUUAAAGCCGGUCUCAGUCCGGAUCGGAGUCUGCAACUCGACUCCGUGAAGUUGGAAUCGCUAGUAAUCGUGGAUCAGCAUGCCACGGUGAAUACGUUCCCGGGCCUUGUACACACCGCCCGUCACACCACGGAAGUUGGUUGUACCAGAAGUAGUUGAGCGAACCUUCGGGGCGCAGGCUACCAAGGUAUGGCUGGUAACUGGGGUGAAGUCGUAACAAGGUA